UUCCACUAAUGACUUCUGUUUUGAGCCACUUGUCUUGAAUGGUUGAGAUGCUGUUGAGGAACUGAUUGAG